GUCGAGCGGACAGAUGGGAGCUUGCUCCCUGAUGUUAGCGGCGGACGGGUGAGUAACACGUGGGUAACCUGCCUGUAAGACUGGGAUAACUCCGGGAAACCGGGGCUAAUACCGGAUGGUUGUUUGAACCGCAUGGUUCAGACAUAAAAGGUGGCUUCGGCUACCACUUACAGAUGGACCCGCGGCGCAUUAGCUAGUUGGUGAGGUAACGGCUCACCAAGGCAACGAUGCGUAGCCGACCUGAGAGGGUGAUCGGCCACACUGGGACUGAGACACGGCCCAGACUCCUACGGGAGGCAGCAGUAGGGAAUCUUCCGCAAUGGACGAAAGUCUGACGGAGCAACGCCGCGUGAGUGAUGAAGGUUUUCGGAUCGUAAAGCUCUGUUGUUAGGGAAGAACAAGUGCCGUUCAAAUAGGGCGGCACCUUGACGGUACCUAACCAGAAAGCCACGG
rnacentral:rRNA from 1 species